UGGGGAAUAUUGGACAAUGGGCGAAAGCCUGAUCCAGCCAUGCCGCUUGUGUGAAGAAGGUCUUCGGAUUGUAAAGCACUUUAAGUUGGGAGGAAGGGCAGUAAGCGAAUACCUUGCUGUUUUGACGUUACCGACAGAAUAAGCACCGGCUAACUCUGUGCCAGCAGCCGCGGUAAUACAGAGGGUGCAAGCGUUAAUCGGAAUUACUGGGCGUAAAGCGCGCGUAGGUGGUUCGUUAAGUUGAAUGUGAAAGCCCCGGGCUCAACCUGGGAACUGCAUCCAAAACUGGCGAGCUAGAGUAGGGCAGAGGGUGGUGGAAUUUCCUGUGUAGCGGUGAAAUGCGUAGAUAUAAGAAGGAAAACCAGUGGCGAAGGCGACCACCUGGGCUCAUACUGACACUGAGGUGCGAAAGCGUGGGGAGCAAACAGG
rnacentral:rRNA from 1 species